rnacentral:snRNA from 1 species
GUGCUUGCUUUGGCAGCACAUAUACAAAAAUUAGAACGAUACAGAGAAGACUAGCAUGGCCCCUGAGCAAGGAUGACAUGCAAAUUCACAAAGCAUUCCAUAUUUUU